UACACCCCGUUCACCUCAUCUACCACGCAGCAGAUAGUGUUCUCGUGGGUCUUCCAUUUGUUUUGUUCCCCAUCGCAGUCUUCAGCUGCUGUGCGUGUGGGCGCUCCGGGAGGAAGGCCCAGAUGUGGAGGAAGAGGAGGAGGAUGAUAACGAAGAUGUCGUCUGGCAGCACAUAGCGGUGGCCUCGCUGGCUUCUCAGCAUCGAAGGAGUGGCUUUGCACGCUUGGACCUGGCCGUGAUCCUGCCAGCCAUCGCUCUGGCCCAUGGAGAGGGUCAUGGACUCAUGGAGGUGAUGGCCAUGCAUGGCAGAGCUGCUCAGGGCCAAAGGGGAGGAGCAGGAGAUGCUUGAGUGUCUCGUGCUCGUUUUGCUCCUGUCCUUGAUCCACGGAGGAGAUGCUUGCGGAUAGGUCCUAGGAGGACAUGCCAGCGACAAGGAAGCAGUUCUAUACUAUUGGGUUACAUAUUGCUCGUGUAAGUACAGUUCUAUACCGUUACCAUACAGCUCCAAUGCAGAUUUACAUAAAUGUUUUUUCACUAACUAUUUAUCUGCAAUGCAGAUUUGCAUAAAUUAUGGAAAAUGAAACUGCACUACCCUUUAUCUCCAGAUGUAGAGAGUUUACAGCUUCACUGAAAAAUGUAACAGCAAUUUGCUUGAAAAUUAUUCUUCUGAUGAUGCCAAAUCAAACGUACUUCCAAAUUACAAAUCAGAUAAAGUACAAACCAGUUAUAUAGCCAAAGUGUACAAUAUGGAUGUUCCUUCAGCUCAUUACCGACGCAUUUCAUCUUGGAACAGAUUAGACUGAUGCUGGCGGUGGAGCUGAAUAUGCUGAUUGAUUACCUUGAACAGACAGUACUAGAUAUGCACUGAAGAAAUUGUAAUCCAUGCAAGUUUCUACAGUCAUUGUACCUUCCAGUACCUUAACUACCGUUGACAUUGAUG
rnacentral:lncRNA from 1 species